rnacentral:rRNA from 1 species
AUUGAACGCUGGCGGCAUGCCUUACACAUGCAAGUCGAACGGCAGCACGGGAGCAAUCCUGGUGGCGAGUGGCGAACGGGUGAGUAAUAUAUCGGAACGUGCCCAGUCGUGGGGGAUAACGCAGCGAAAGCUGUGCUAAUACCGCAUACGAUCUACGGAUGAAAGCGGGGGACUCGCAAGAGCCUCGCGCGAUUGGAGCGGCCGAUAUCAGAUUAGCUAGUUGGUGGGGUAAAAGCCCACCAAGGCGACGAUCUGUAGCUGGUCUGAGAGGACGACCAGCCACACUGGAACUGAGACACGGUCCAGACUCCUACGGGAGGCAGCAGUGGGGAAUUUUGGACAAUGGGCGCAAGCCUGAUCCAGCAAUGCCGCGUGCAGGAUGAAGGCCUUCGGGUUGUAAACUGCUUUUGUACGGAACGAAAAGGUCUGCCCUAAUACGGCGGGCUCAUGACGGUACCGUAAGAAUAAGCACCGGCUAACUACGUGCC